GAUGAACGCUAGCGGCAGGCUUAACACAUGCAAGUCGAGGGGCAUCGAGAGAGUAGCAAUACUUUGUCGGCGACCGGCGGACGGGUGCGUAACGCGUAUGCAACCUACCUUAUACAGGGGGAUAACCUUUCGAAAGGGAGACUAAUACCGCAUAACAUUACUUUGAGGCAUCUUGAGGUAAUUAAAUCUUCGGAGGUAUAAGAUGGGCAUGCGUAGCAUUAGCUAGAUGGUGCGGUAACGGCGUACCAUGGCGACGACGCUUAGGGGUUCUGAGAGGAAGGUCCCCACACUGGUACUGAGAUACGGACCAGACUCCUACGGGAGGCAGCAGUGAGGAAUAUUGGUCAAUGGUCGGAAGACUGAACCAG
rnacentral:rRNA from 1 species